CCUGGUACUGAGUUAUUCAUCGCCGAGGAAAGCAUUCAUGCACCAGCUAUGCUAGCUAGCUGGUUGAACAGGUCUGCUGAGGCACCACCGAUGACGGUUAUUCAUGAGCCAGCUAUGCUAGCUAACCUGGCCGCACAGGUCUGCCGAGGAAAGCAUUCAUGCACCAGCUAUGCUAGCUAGCUGGUUGAACAGGUCUGCUGAGGCACCACCGAUGACGGUUAUUCAUGAGCCAGCUAUGCUAGCUAACCUGGCCGCACAGGUCUGCCGAGGUGAAAAGCAUUCACUGGCGUAGCUAACCAGUGAUGUAAGUCUUUU